GAAACACGGACCAAGGAGUCUAGCAUGUGCGCGAGUCAUUGGGACAGUACGAAACCUAAAGGCGCAAUGAAAGUGAAGGUCCGCCUUGCGCGGGCCGAGGGAAGAUGGGCGGUCCGUAACAGGACCGCCUCGCAUUCCCGGGGCGUCUCGUUCUCAUCGCGAGAAGAGCCGCACCAAGAGCGUACACGCUGGGACCCGAAAGAUGGUGAACUAUGCCUGGUCAGGACGAAGUCAGGGGAAACCCUGAUGGAGGUCCGUAGCGAUUCUGACGUGCAAAUCGAUCGUCGGAACUGGGUAUAGGGGCGAAAGACUAAUCGAACCAUCUAGUAGCUGGUUCCCUCCGAAGUUUCCCUCAGGAUAGCUGGCGCUCGUCGCGUACGAGUCUCAUCCGGUAAAGCGAAUGAUUAGAGGCAUUGGGGUCGAAACGGCCUCAACCUAUUCUCAAACUUUAAAUGGGUGAGAUCUCCGGCUUGCUCGAAUCGAUGAAGCCGGAGAGACGGAUCAGAGUGCCAAGUGGGCCAUUUUUGGUAAGCAGAACUGGCGCUGUGGGAUGAACCAAACGCCGAGUUAAAGCGCCUAAAUCGACGCUUAUGGGACACCAUGAAAGGCGUUGGUAACUUAAGACAGCAGGACGGUGGCCAUGGAAGUCGGAAUCCG
rnacentral:rRNA from 1 species